UUUUUUUAAGGGUUUUAACUAAAUGCUUUUCACCAACCAAAACCAUCUAAUAUAAAUGGCAGAAAAUUGCAACAAAUACAAACCUCAAAAAAUGAAGAAAAAUAGAGAAAAAAAAAAAAUAAAUGAACAUUCAAACCUUUUAUCAAUUAAUUAAUCUUGUUCCUCUUCCUCCUCAGCCAUUACCAUUCUACUAAGAGGGCUAGGUCCAAGCUUUUUUCUUCUCAUCAUACUUCUCUUUCUAAUAACUUCCAUUUGAUUUCUCCUCCUAACUUGCAUCAUUGCCUCUUCUUCAACAACAAAUCUCCUCAUCAAAACAUCAUCUGUCAAUGAUUUCCCUCUAAAAACCCUUCUUCCUUCUGUGCUAAGUCUUGCAGUACUUUGCAUUAUUCUUUCUUGUGAAGCAGCAAAUGAUUUUGAUCUAGGGUAACUAUUGCUUCUUCUAGGAGGAACAUCAGCUCUAAAAACUUCAUUGUAGGAAGAUAUUGGAGCACAAAGACAUACUCUAGUAAAUGAAGUAGCAACCCUAAGGGAAGUGCAUUUUCUCAACUUCCCUCUAUUAGGGUUUGCUCUAGUUGCCGUAGUCAUCGACGUCGUCGACGACGGAAGAUCCGUGGAUUUGGAAAUGGUUUUCCACAAUGUCGCAUUUGUUGUUGGAAGUUCUGUUGGCUUGGAAACUGUUUUCCAUAAUGUGCCAUUUGAUGAUGGUGGAAUUUCUGUGGACUUGGAAAUUGUCUUCCAUUGAGUAGCCAUUUGUAUUGCUCUUUGAUACCAAGGCUUCCUUUUGGCAAUUGUGUAAGAGGCAUGCUGCCUUGAAAUUGUCAUUUGGAGUGAUCACUGAUGGCUUAGGCUUUUACAUAAAUCAUAUGAACCUGUAUAUAUUUAUUUAUGCACUAACCUUAGCUUAGCUCAAUUACUCGUACCAUUUUCUAACAAAUUCAAGAAACACACAGUAAUGCAUGUCUAGCUCUUGCCAAGAAACCAAGAAACAAAGAGUUGCUUAGUGCUUACCUUGUAAGAGAGUUCUUUGGAUCUUGCAUGAAAAAAGCCAGCUGAAGUAUGAGUAUGGAAAAGAGAAGGAUGAGGUUUUUUUCAUUUGGGUAGAUAGGGUGAGAGAGGUAGAGAGGGAGAGAGGGAAGAAGAACCCCUUUUUUGCCUUCAAUUUUGUGACUGCAAGAUGGGUUGGCAAUGUGCUUCUUUUCUUUUCUUUUCUUUCUUAAUUUUCCAAUUACCGGCAGCCAAACAGAGUUGAAGCUCCAAUUAAACUUACCAAAUAAGCCAAAUUACAAUAUUUCCAAUAUUAACAUGACUGGCUCCACAAAAAUCCAAAAUGGGCAUUUAUUGUAUAAGCUGAAUGUUUGAUCCAAUUCACUCACCUAAUUGAUAUUAUCAAGAAGUACAUAUUAUGGCCCAGAAACAACAAACCUCAUAAACUCCUAAUCCUAGAAUUGAUGUUUUUGACUCGUACAGUAGUAAUCUUAUACACUCAAAUCUGGAACUAAGAAAUAACUGACUGAGUCUGGCAGACUGAAAGUCAAUUACCUUCAGAGAAAGAAACCAACAAGGAAACUUUACUGGUAGUCAAUUUAAGCUGAAUUCAAGAUGUUCAUAGAAGAUAGAAAGAACUUACCUUCCAUGAUCCAAAGACAAAACAAUUAUCAGUCACGAGUGAAACUGAAGGAUAUCAAAGAAGAGAGAAGAAGGAAACGAGUGAAUGACGGAGAAAGUCGAGUGAAGGCUGAUGUUACUGCUAAGGGGGUCCUAAAAUGAUGCCGAUACUUUGGAGAAUGAGUGAAAACAAAGAAAAGUCACGAGAGAGAGAGAGAGAGAGAG
rnacentral:misc_RNA from 1 species